CUUAGCUUACUAUAUAUGCGCACGCGUCAAGGUCAAGAUGCACUUGGAAUGGCCUAUAAAUAGGAGUGUAGGGAAAGGGUCUUUGCAGAUGCAGAUCAUCAAUCCAACCAACAAUAUAUCCUAAAAUGAAGGAUAUCGUUAUCAUUUGCAUUCUGCUGGCUUCCCUUCUUUUCUCGUCCCCUUCAAUUAUUGUGGCUCGCGAGCUGGCUGAUCCGCGGGAAGGAAAUACUGGCAGAACCGACAAGCCAGCAAUAACAUCAUGCGGAAAGCCUGGCAAUCCCGCGUAUAGCAAAUGCAUAGGAAAACAAAAGCCCAUCAAGUGUGAACCAAAAAACAUUUUUCGCCGUUGCAAGCCACCUCAAGGACCUUGAAUGAUCAGUCCUACUUAAUCAUUCAUGUGGUGUGGUGAAAGUAUGAAUAAAUAGUACUACUAAAGUUACAUGAAGUAGUACUCAUGUAACGCUUUGAGAAUAAAUAUUAAUAUUGUAAUGGAGCUGGAUCGAUCGAGCUAGCUUCCUUUACAGUAUGGAAACAUAUAUGUAAAAUAUGCUGCAUCUUGAUAUCCUGUCCUGUGCCAAUA